AAAGCGCUCCUGGGAGGCCUCCUGCUCCUGGCCACCUUCAUAACUUUAUGCAGUUCUCUGUGUUUUUGGAUUAAGAAAGAAUAUUUUGAUUUAGUUCCCGCACGUGGAUGUGAGGAUCAGGAAGGACGCUGGAAUCCACUGUUCUCAACGUGGGAAACAUCGCACUGUGAGGUGUGCACUUGCAAAAUUCAGGAGAUACAUUGCUGCACCAAAGCUGCUUUACCUGUGAAUUAUGACACAAAUAAGUGUCGUAUCAUCUUGCAUCCUGGUAACUGCACCUACUCUGUAGUGGAACGUCAGGACCCACGAAAGCACUGUGCCUUUUCUUCAGAAUGACAUAAUGUCCUUCCUGUGGAUCCAAUGAUCUUGGAGCAGGACUCUCCCUCCUGUGGCCU